GAUGAACGCUAGCGGCAGGCUUAACACAUGCAAGUCGAGGGGUAUUGGUUUUCGGACCAAGAGACCGGCGCACGGGUGCGUAACGCGUAUGCAAUCUACCUUUUGCAGAGGGAUAGCCCAGAGAAAUUUGGAUUAAUACCUCAUAGUAUAGUACUUUGGCAUCAAGGAACUAUUAAAGUCACAACGGCAAAAGAUGAGCAUGCGUCCCAUUAGCUAGUUGGUAAGGUAACGGCUUACCAAGGCUACGAUGGGUAGGGGUCCUGAGAGGGAGAUCCCCCACACUGGUACUGAGACACGGACCAGACUCCUACGGGAGGCAGCAGUGAGGAAUAUUGGACAAUGGGCGCAAGCCUGAUCCAGCCAUGCCGCGUGCAGGAUGACGGUCCUAUGGAUUGUAAACUGCUUUUUAUACAGGAAGAAACACUCCGACGUGUCGGAGCUUGACGGUACUGUAAGAAUAAGGAUCGGCUAACUCGUGCCAGCAGCCGCGGUAA
rnacentral:rRNA from 1 species